rnacentral:rRNA from 1 species
UACGUAGGGAGCAAGCGUUAUCCGGAUUUACUGGGUGUAACGGGUGCGUAGGCGGCUAAUUAAGUCAGAUGUGAAAUGUAGAGGCUCAACCUCUGAACUGCAUUUGAAACUAAUUGGCUUGAGUGAAGUAGAGGCAGGCGGAAUUCCCUGUGUAGCGGUGAAAUGCGUAGAGAUAGGGAGGAACACCAGUGGCGAAGGCGGCCUGCUGGGCUUUAACUGACGCUGAGGCACGAAAGCGUGGGUAGCAAAC